rnacentral:rRNA from 1 species
AUUGAACGCUGGCGGCAGGCCUAACACAUGCAAGUCGAACGAGUGGCGGACGGGUGAGUAAUGUCUGGGAAACUGCCUGAUGGAGGGGGAUAACUACUGGAAACGGUAGCUAAUACCGCAUACCAUCGGAUGUGCCCAGAUGGGAUUAGCUAGUAGGUGGGGUAAAGGCUCACCAAGGCAACGAUCCCUAGCUGGUUUGAGAGGACGACCAGCCACACUGGAACUUAAACACGGCCCAGACUCCUACGGGAGGCAGCAGUGGGGAAUAUGGCACAGUGGGGGAAAGCCUGAUGCAGCCAAGCCGCGUGUAUGAAGAAGGCCUUCGAGUUGUAAAGUACUUUCAGCAGGGAGGCGUUACCCGCAGAAGAAGCACCGGCUAACUCCGUGCCAGCAGCCGCGGUAAUUC